AAUGAAUUUAGGCCACAUAUAUUUCUACAGCUACUCCUUGUUACCAUGUACCCAAAAUUUGAAGUUCUUUCCUGGAUUUUGCUCAAAUUGAUUACAAUAUUCUUGAAAGUUCUAUUCAAUUAUCCCAUUUCAUUUAGCAAAUCACUCAAGAUAAUCAACGUCGACUAUUUCAAAGAGAAUUAAAAAAAAUCAAUAUAGAAUAGUGCAUAAAUAGUCAAACGAAAAGACAAUAAAAAUAAAAAAUAUAUAAAAUACAACAAUGUAAUGCAAAAACCCUGCAUUUUAUGACACCAGAUUAGCAUAAAAUUCAAAAAUCAAUGAUAAUUAUUCGGGUAUCUAUCAUUAUAAAUUAAUUCUUUAUGUCACAUAAUAAAUACGAGUAGUCAAAAACAUAAAAUCAAAUAAGAAACCAGAAAGAAAGUUUACAUAAAGAUUUUACCUAUUUUUCUUUCAUUUUCUUCUCAAUUUUUCAAUUUCUUACCAUGAGCAGACAAAUAGUGUUGGACAUUGGGUUUUGCUUGUUUGUGAGGCACAAGCUAAUGGAAAGAAAGAGAGAGAGAAGGAAGCAUAUGCAGCUGGCCAUUGGAAAGUCCUUGUUCCCACCGAUUAUUUGUAAUUUCUUCUACUAGUCUGCUUCAGUUGUGAACACUUGCUUGUGAUUUUGCUAUCGUUCAGCAUAUCUGCCCUAAACCAUCUCUUCUAGCCGGUAAAAC
rnacentral:lncRNA from 1 species